rnacentral:rRNA from 1 species
UACAGAGGUGGCAAGCGUUGUUCGGAAUUACUGGGCGUAAAGGGCGCGUAGGCGGUCUUGCAAGUCCCGUGUGAAAUCCCUCGGCUCAACUGAGGAACUGCACAGGAAACUGCUUGGCUUGAGUUCGGGAGAGGGAAGCGGAAUUCCGGGUGUAGCGGUGAAAUGCGUAGAUAUCCGGAGGAACACCGGUGGCGAAGGCGGCUUCCUGGACCGACACUGACGCUGAGGCGCGAAAGCUAGGGGAGCAAACGGG